CUAGCGUCGCCAGUUUCCCUCCGGGUCUUUUGGGGAGUGUGGUGUGAUGAAAUUGUUGUAGUGUGUCUAUGCUGUUUUUAUUUUGUUCCUUUAUGUGAGUUCUGAAAUACUAACUCAUAAACAAGGAUUGAAAAUUUGCUGAGUUAUAAUGUUGCUUGCCUUUUCAAUUUUACUUGCCUUUGUUGCAAACUAUUUCCUAUUUCAACCCAAUUGUGUUGACGCAUAUCUAUUCGGGAAAGUGAGCCUCAAUGUGUCCCAUCUAGCGGCAUAAAAGAAAGAUUGACGCGUCUUUGGCUGGAAUAGCGGUGGCCAUCGAAAGCUAGUGGCGCUUUUUCGGUGAUUGAUUGAGAUGUUACUGGGAAAAUACACAACAGUUUAACAAUUGUUUUUUUUUUUCAUUACCAAAUAUGUCUAAUCGUGUUUUGCUCCAUGAAUGAGGUGCAAUUUCUUCACAAGAUUGUGAAAAUGGUUACAUUUGCGCUACAUUUCACAUGCAGCUGGUAUAGUGAUGGGUUUGAUCAGAUCUAAAUGUAUAGCUGGAAGAGCUGUGCCGGGCCACUAGGAACUGGCAAAACUGCCCUCGCCAUGGCUAUUGCUCAAGAUUUAGUCAACAAGGUUCCUUUUUGUCCUAUGGUGGGCUCACAAGUCUUUAGUAUUGAAAAAAAAAAAAAUGAGGUUUUAAUGGAAAACCUUCGGAGAGCUAUUGGACUUUGUAUCAACAAAACUAAUCUUAGGAAGAAGAAGUCAUUGAACUUACCCCAGUUGAAACUGAGAAUAAAUGGGAGGUAUGGAUGUGGCAAAACUGUCAGUCAUGUUUAAGCAUUGUACUGAAGACAGCUAAAGGAACAAAGCAGUUCAAGUUGGAUCCUUCCAUAUUUUAUCUACAUAUCUCUCCAGAAGGAACAUGUUGAAAUGGACGACAUCAUAAACAUUGAAGCUAAGAGCGGAGCGGUUAAACGUCAAGGCCGAUUCGAUACGUUUGCCACCGAGUUUGAUCUCGAAGCCGAAGAAUAGGUCCCUCUUCCCAAAGGCGAUGUUCACAAAAAGAAAGAAAUUGUCCAAGACGUCACCCUAUACCAUUUGGACGUGGCCAAUGGCCAUCCACAUCAGCGAGGCCGAGACAAUAUUUCCAUGAUGAGACAGUUAACGAGGCCGAAAAAAAGAGAUAACAGACAAGCUGAGUAGAGAAAUCAACAGAGUAGUCGACAAGUACAUUGACCAGGGAAUUGCAGAGCUUGUACCCGGCGUGUUAUCCAUCGACGAAAUUCACUUGCUGGACAUGGAAUGCUUUGCCUAUCUCCAAAAAACGUUAACGUUCGCUCUUCUCCAUCACCAAUCAAGAUAUAAAAGAAGUCUCGAUGCCAAAUCAUCAGCCAAGAUCCUGACGCAAGACAAAGACAAAUAUAUGAAAUGAGGAAUCGAGUAAAAUUUGCUUGUCUGUGUUGGUUUUUUUUUCCAUUUUUUCCUAAUAAAAUUAUCCUCCACGAAAAACCAA